AAAAGUGAAAGACGGUCUUGCUGUCACUUAUAGAUGGAUCCGCGCUGCAUUAGCUAGUUGGUAAGGUAACGGCUUACCAAGGCAACGAUGCAUAGCCGACCUGAGAGGGUGAUCGGCCACACUGGAACUGAGACACGGUCCAGACUCCUACGGGAGGCAGCAGUAGGGAAUCUUCCGCAAUGGGCGAAAGCCUGACGGAGCAACGCCGCGUGAGUGAUGAAGGUCUUCGGAUCGUAAAACUCUGUUAUUAGGGAAGAACAUAUGUGUAAGUAACUGUGCACAUCUUGACGGUACCUAAUCAGAAAGCCACGGCUAACUACGUGCCAGCAGCCGCGGUAAUACGUAGGUGGCAAGCGUUAUCCGGAAUUAUUGGGCGUAAAGCGCGCGUAGGCGGUUUUUUAAGUCUGAUG
rnacentral:rRNA from 1 species